rnacentral:rRNA from 1 species
UGGGGAAUCUUCCGCAAUGGGCGAAAGCCUGACGGAGCAAUGCCGCGUGAGUGAUGAAGGAAUUCGUUCCGUAAAGCUCUUUUGUUUAUGACGAAUGUGCAGAUUGUGAAUAAUGAUCUGUAAUGACGGUAGUAAACGAAUAAGCCACGGCUAACUACGUGCCAGCAGCCGCGGUAAUACGUAGGUGGCGAGCGUUGUCCGGAAUUAUUGGGCGUAAAGAGCAUGUAGGCGGUUUUUUAAGUCUGGAGUGAAAAUGCGGGGCUCAACCCCGUAUGGCUCUGGAUACUGGAAGACUUGAGUGCAGGAGAGGAAAGGGGAAUUCCCAGUGUAGCGGUGAAAUGCGUAGAUAUUGGGAGGAACACCAGUGGCGAAGGCGCCUUUCUGGACUGUGUCUGACGCUGAGAUGCGAAAGCCAGGGUAGCGAACGGG